rnacentral:rRNA from 1 species
UGGGGAAUAUUGCGCAAUGGGGGCAACCCCGACGCAGCAACGCCGCGUGAUUGAAGAAGGUCUUCGGAUUGUAAAAAUCUUUUAUCAAGGACGAAGAAGUGACGGUACUUGAUGAAUAAGCUCCGGCUAACUACGUGCC